rnacentral:lncRNA from 1 species
UUGUCAUCGCAAGCAUAUUUUACCCGAGUCACGUGCCAUCAGGGUCGCUGUAACGGAACAAUUCCCGAGCCUUCGUCGUUGCCAUUUUGCUGCACGGAAAUACACUGAAGACAUAGCGGAUCGAGCGCAGCGGCGGUCGCGCCUCCGUGCACUGACUGACUCGGCAAUUCAACGGCUGCAAACUAGUAUGAAGAGGGAGGGCACACUCCUUGUUCGGCUAAGCUGGGACUGCCGCCGCCGCCGCUGUAGCGAUGGCGACGCUCCGAGCCCCGCCAUUAGACGCUUAGCAAACCCCUCCAUUUUCUGUCGUCGGCUGUUUUACGAGGUUAAGGCGUUGCGCGCCGCAGCGGCGUUCGCGUGCCGCCAGGGGUCUCUCCUGUUCAGGGCCGCCCCUCUAUACGUUAUAACCGGCGCUAUGGAGCCGGCGCCUGUUCUCCUCACUUUUUUUGUUGCCGCUAAAGAGUUUUGUGUACACAGAGGUCGUUGGUGCACGCGAGCGACACCGGUUUAUUUGCCGUUGCAUGGCUUGCCAAAGAAGGCGCACACAGAAGAUGCAAGAGCACGAGGCUUCUGAUACGGCAGGGUCAUGGUUUUCAAGCGGUGAUCGACGUUGCCGUGGAAGAGCGCUUGGGAGUGAAGACACAGGCACGCGAAUCAUCAGAACUUUACGAGAAGGUCCACUCGUAUGCGAGCGUCAUUGUGGACGCCGUUGCUG